rnacentral:rRNA from 1 species
GUCAAAGCGUUCAUUAAAGUCGAGUUGGCUUAGGGAUACGUUCGUUGGGUAGGGGAGCGUUCUGUAAGCCUGUGAAGGUGUGUCGUGAGGCAUGCUGGAGGUAUCAGAAGUGCGAAUGCUGACAUAAGUAACGAUAAAGCGGGUGAAAAGCCCGCUCGCCGGAAGACCAAGGGUUCCUGUCCAACGUUAAUCGGGGCAGGGUGAGUCGACCCCUAAGGCGAGGCCGAAAGGCGUAGUCGAUGGGAAACGGGUUAAUAUUCCCGUACUUGGUGUUACUGCGAAGGGGGGACGGAGAAGGCUAUGUUGGCCGGGCGACGGUUGUCCCGGUUUAAGCGUGUAGGUGUGUGUUCCAGGUAAAUCCGGUUCACUUUAACACUGAGGCGU